AUUAGGAAUCUUGCGCAAUGGGCGAAAGCCUGACGCAGCGACGCCGCGUGACUGAUGAAGUCUUUCGGGAUGUAAAGGUCUUUUGCAGGGGAAGAAGGAUGUGACGGUACCCUGGGAAUAAGCCCCGGCUAACUACGUGCCAGCAGCCGCGGUAAUACGUAGGGGGCGAGCGUUGUCCGAAUUUACUGGGCGUAAAGCGCGCGUAGGCGGGCUUUUAAGUCAGGGGUGAAAUGCCGAGGCUCAACCUCGGAACUGCCUUUGAAACUGGGAGCCUUGAGGUAUGGAGAGGGAAGUGGAAUUCCUGGUGUAGCGGUGAAAUGCGUAGAUAUCAGGAGGAACACCCGUGGCGAAGGCGGCUUUCUGGCCAUAUCCUGACGCUGAGGUGCGAAAGCUAGGGGAGCGAACGGGAUUAGAUACCCGAGUAGUCC
rnacentral:rRNA from 1 species